rnacentral:misc_RNA from 1 species
GAUGAAGAACGCAGCGAAAUGCGAUAAGUAGUGUGAAUUGCAGAAUUCCGUGAAUCAUCGAAUCUUUGAACGCACAUUGCGCCCCCUGGUAUUCCGGGGGGCAUGCCUGUCCGAGCGUCAUUACAACCCUCAAGCUCAGCUUGGUGUUGGGCCCCGCCGCCCCGGCGGGCCCUAAAGUCAGUGGCGGUGCCGUCCGGCUCCGAGCGUAGUAAUUCUUCUCGCUCUGGAGGUCCGGUCGUGUGCUUGCCAGCAACCCCCAAUUUUUUUCAGGUUGACCUCGGAUCAGGUAGGGAUACCCGCUGAACUUAAGCAUAUCAAUAAGCGGAGGA